AUUUUUGGCACACGGAGGCCCCUCGCAAAGUCUGGCGGCAUUCCGAGUCCGGCGGACGUAGUGGGCCAGCCCCACCCCCCAAGGCUAUAGCCCACCCGUUACUGUGGCCUUUUUCCGCUGGACGAACUUGGCGCCCCGGCCUUCGGGCUGUUAUUUUUGGGCGUGGCUUAGCCAGCGGCCUAAUUUUGGCACACGGAGGCCCCUCGCAAAGUCUCGCGGCAUUCCGAGUCCGGCGGACAAAGUGGGCCAGCCCCACCCCCCAAGGCUAUAGCCCACCCGUUUUUGUGGCCUUUUUCCGCUGGACGAACUUGGUGCCCCGACCUUCGGGCUGUUAUUUUUGGGCGCGGCAUUGCCCGCGGCCUAUUUUUGGCACACGGAGGACCCUCGUAAAGUCUCGCGGCAUUCCGAGUCCGGCGGACGAAGUGGGCCAGCCCCACCCCCCAAGGCUAUAGCCCACCCGUUACUGUGGCCUUUUUCCGCUGGACGAACUUGGCGCCCCGGCCUUCGGGCGGUUAAUUUUGGGCGCGGCUUUGCCCGGGGCCUAUUUUUGGCAUGCAGAGGCCCCACGCAAAGUCUCGCGGCAUUCCGAGUCCGGCGGACGAAGUUGGCCAGCCCCACCCCCCAAGGCUAUAGCCCACCCGCUUUUGUGGCCUUUUUCCGCUGGACGAACUUGGCGACCCGGCCUUCGGGCGGUUAUUUUUGGGCGCGGCUUUGUCCGCGGCCUAUUUGUGGCACAUGGAGGCCCCUCCCAAAGUCUCGCGGCAUUCCGAGUCCGGCGGACGAAGUGGGCCAGCCCCACCCCCCAAGGCUAUAGCCCACCCGUUUUUGUGGCCUUUUUCCGCUGGACGAACUUGGCGCCCCGGCCUUCGGGCUAUUAUUUUUGGGCGCGGAUUUGCCCGCGGCCUAUUUUUGGCACACGGAGGACCCUCGCAAAGUCUCGCGGCAUUCCGAGUCCGGCGGACGAAGUGGGCCAGCCCCACCCCCCGAGGGUGUAGCCCACCCGUUUUUGUGGCCUUUUUCCGCUGGACGAACUCGGCGCCCCGGCCUUCGGGCUGUUAUUUUUGGGCGCGGCUUUGCCAGCGGCCUAUUUUUGGUACACGGAGGCCCCUCGUAAAGUCUGGCGGCAUUCCGAGUCCGGCGGACGAAGUGGGCCAGCCCCACCCCCCAAGGCUAUAGCCCACCCGUUUUUGUGGCCUUUUUCCGCUGGACGAACUUGGCGCCCCGGCCUUCGGGCGGUUAUUUUUGGGCGCGGCUUUGAUCGCGGCCUAUUUUUGGCACACGGAGGCCCCUCGCAAAGUCUCGCGGCAUUCUG
rnacentral:lncRNA from 1 species